rnacentral:tRNA from 1 species
ACCUGGCUGGCUCAGUCGGGAGAGCAUGCAACUCUUGAUCUCAGGAUUGUGAGUUCAAGCCCCAUGUUGGGUG